rnacentral:rRNA from 1 species
GCAGAGUUCUCGGAGUCACGAAGAGUUUGAUCCUGGCUCAGGAUGAACGCUGGCGGCGUGCUUAACACAUGCAAGUCGAACGGGAUCCAUCAGGCUUUGCUUGGUGGUGAGAGUGGCGAACGGGUGAGUAAUGCGUGACCGACCUGCCCCAUACACCGGAAUAGCUCCUGGAAACGGGUGGUAAUGCCGGAUGCUCCGACUCCUCGCAUGGGGUGUCGGGAAAGAUUUCAUCGGUAUGGGAUGGGGUCGCGUCCUAUCAGGUAGUCGGCGGGGUAACGGCCCACCGAGCCUACGACGGGUAGCCGGCCUGAGAGGGCGACCGGCCACAUUGGGACUGAGAUACGGCCCAGACUCCUACGGGAGGCAGCAGUGGGGAAUAUUGCACAAUGGGCGCAAGCCUGAUGCAGCGACGCCGCGUGCGGGAUGACGGCCUUCGGGUUGUAAACCGCUUUUGAUCGGGAGCAAGCCUUCGGGUGAGUGUACCUUUCGAAUAAGCACCGGCUAACUACGUGCCAGCAGCCGCGGUAAUACGUAGGGUGCAAGCGUUAUCCGGAAUUAUUGGGCGUAAAGGGCUCGUAGGCGGUUCGUCGCGUCCGGUGUGAAAGUCCAUCGCUUAACGGUGGAUCUGCGCCGGGUACGGGCGGGCUGGAGUGCGGUAGGGGAGACUGGAAUUCCCGGUGUAACGGUGGAAUGUGUAGAUAUCGGGAAGAACACCAAUGGCGAAGGCAGGUCUCUGGGCCGUUACUGACGCUGAGGAGCGAAAGCGUGGGGAGCGAACAGGAUUAGAUACCCUGGUAGUCCACGCCGUAAACGGUGGAUGCUGGAUGUGGGGCCCGUUCCACGGGUUCCGUGUCGGAGCUAACGCGUUAAGCAUCCCGCCUGGGGAGUACGGCCGCAAGGCUAAAACUCAAAGAAAUUGACGGGGGCCCGCACAAGCGGCGGAGCAUGCGGAUUAAUUCGAUGCAACGCGAAGAACCUUACCUGGGCUUGACAUGUUCCCGACAGCCGUAGAGAUAUGGCCUCCCUUCGGGGCGGGUUCACAGGUGGUGCAUGGUCGUCGUCAGCUCGUGUCGUGAGAUGUUGGGUUAAGUCCCGCAACGAGCGCAACCCUCGCCCUGUGUUGCCAGCACGUCAUGGUGGGAACUCACGGGGGACCGCCGGGGUCAACUCGGAGGAAGGUGGGGAUGACGUCAGAUCAUCAUGCCCCUUACGUCCAGGGCUUCACGCAUGCUACAAUGGCCGGUACAACGGGAUGCGACACGGCGACGUGGAGCGGAUCCCUGAAAACCGGUCUCAGUUCGGAUUGGAGUCUGCAACCCGACUCCAUGAAGGCGGAGUCGCUAGUAAUCGCGGAUCAGCAACGCCGCGGUGAAUGCGUUCCCGGGCCUUGUACACACCGCCCGUCAAGUCAUGAAAGUGGGUAGCACCCGAAGCCGGUGGCCUAACCCUUUGUGGAUGGAGCCGUCUAAGGUGAGACUCGUGAUUGGGACUAAGUCGUAACAAGGUAGCCGUAGUCCUGUGUGAAGUGAUCCGCUAAUCGUCGACC